AGUGAACGCUGGCGGUAGGCCUAACACAUGCAAGUCGAACGGCAGCACAGUAAGAGCUUGCUCUUACGGGUGGCGAGUGGCGGACGGGUGAGGAAUACAUCGGAAUCUACUUUUUCGUGGGGGAUAACGUAGGGAAACUUACGCUAAUACCGCAUACGACCUACGGGUGAAAGCAGGGGAUCUUCGGACCUUGCGCGAUUGAAUGAGCCGAUGUCGGAUUAGCUAGUUGGCGGGGUAAAGGCCCACCAAGGCGACGAUCCGUAGCUGGUCUGAGAGGAUGAUCAGCCACACUGGAACUGAGACACGGUCCAGACUCCUACGGGAGGCAGCAGUGGGGAAUAUUGGACAAUGGGCGCAAGUCUGAUCCAGCCAUACCGCAUGGGUGAAGAAGGCCUUCGGGUUGUAAAGCCCUUUUGUUGGGAAAGAAAAGCAGCAGGUUAAUACCCCGCUGUUCUGACGGUACCCAAAGAAUAAGCACCGGCUAACUUCGUG
rnacentral:rRNA from 1 species